rnacentral:pre_miRNA from 1 species
UGUAUGCCUUAGAAGCUGUGAUUUUUCGAUAUCUUAAUUCAUGCCAUAAUGGACAGUAAUUUUGAUCUUUAGUUGUCAAUUCGGCUUGUUCGCAUACA